AGGAGCGUAGCUCAGCUGGUAGAGCAGCGGUCUCCAAAACCGCAGGUCGCGGGUUCGAUCCCUGCCGCUCCUGCCA
rnacentral:tRNA from 1 species